AUGACAUGCCCUUGAGAGGGGGAUAGCCCAGGGAAACUUGGAUUAAUACCCCAUGGUAUCGCGAGAUUAAAGGGUGGCCGCAAGGCUGCCGCUGAAGGAUUGGUUCGCGCCCUAUCAGCUAGUUGGCGGGGUAACGGCCCACCAAGGCUACGACGGGUACCUGGUCUGAGAGGACGAUCAGGCACACUGGAACUGAGACACGGUCCAGACACCUACGGGUGGCAGCAGUCGAGAAUAAUUCACAAUGGGGGCAACCCUGAUGGUGCAACGCCGCGUGGAGGAUGAAGGUCUUCGGAUUGUAAACUCCUGUCAUCCGGGAGCAAGACCUGACGGUGAAUAGCCGGCAGGGUUGAUAGUACCGGAAGAGGAAGGGACGGCUAACUUCGUGCCAGCAGCCGCGGUAAUACGAAGGUCCCGAGCGUUGUUCGGAAUCACUGGGCGUAAAGGGAGCGUAGGCGGCGUGGUAAGUCAGAUGUGAAAUCCCGGGGCUCAACCCCGGAACUGCAUCCGAUACUGCCGUGCUUGAGUUUUGGAGAGGUAGCUGGAAUUCACGGUGUAGCAGUGAAAUGCGUGGAUAUCGUGAGGAACACUCGUGGCGAAAGCGAGCUACUGGACAACAACUGACGCUGAGGCUCGAAGGCCAGGGGAGCGA
rnacentral:rRNA from 1 species